rnacentral:lncRNA from 1 species
CUUCCUGUUAUGCCUGAUGAUAAUCUCAAAUUAUUAAGGUGCCCUUGCCAAUAUUUAACCACAAACAUGCGGAGCGUGAAGGCGAGCCUUGGCUUACCGGGUAAAUUUAUUGCCAUGUGAUCAGGAGGUUACGGGUUUGAGCCGUGGAAGCAACCUCUUGUAGAAAUGUAGGGUAGGACUAAGGGUGUCAACCGGGCCGGGACC